CUGGGACUGCCUUUAACCCGCACGAUGCCAACUCACUCAAAUUUCAAGGCGCCAUUUAUAUGAAGGAGAUAACCUUUCGUUCUAAGGAUCCGCGGCAUAGCAGUGAAGUUGUACAGCUGAUCAAGACCCUCCGUAGGCAAGUUGCAUCAAGGGAAUCUGAGAAAGCAGAGAGGGCUACCUUGGUGACUCAGGAGAAGCUUCAGCUCUCCGGCAAUAGAAUGAAGCCAGUGAGGUUAUCAGAUCUGUGG
rnacentral:misc_RNA from 1 species